rnacentral:rRNA from 1 species
GAUGAACGCUAGCUACAGGCUUAACACAUGCAAGUCGAGGGGCAGCGGGAUUGAAGCUUGCUUCAAUUGCCGGCGACCGGCGCACGGGUGAGUAACGCGUAUCCAACCUUCCGUACACUCAGGGAUAGCCUUUCGAAAGAAAGAUUAAUACCUGAUGGUAUGAUGAGAUUGCAUGAUAGCAUCAUUAAAGAUUUAUCGGUGUACGAUGGGGAUGCGUUCCAUUAGGUAGUAGGCGGGGUAACGGCCCACCUAGCCAACGAUGGAUAGGGGUUCUGAGAGGAAGGUCCCCCACAUUGGAACUGAGACACGGUCCAAACUCCUACGGGAGGCAGCAGUGAGGAAUAUUGGUCAAUGGACGAGAGUCUGAACCAGCCAAGUAGCGUGAAGGAUGAAGGUCCUACGGAUUGUAAACUUCUUUUAUAAGGGAAUAAACCCUCCCACGUGUGGGAGCUUGUAUGUACCUUAUGAAUAAGCAUCGGCUAACUCCGUGCCAGCAGCCGCGGUAAUACGGAGGAUGCGAGCGUCAUCCGGAUUUAUUGGGUUUAAAGGGAGCGCAGACGGGUCGUUAAGUCAGCUGUGAAAGUUUGGGGCUCAACCUUAGAAUUGCAGUUGAUACUGGCGUCCUUGAGUGCGGUUGAGGUGUGCGGAAUUCGUGGUGUAGCGGUGAAAUGCUUAGAUAUCACGAAGAACUCCGAUUGCGAAGGCAGCACACUAAUCCGUAACUGACGUUCAUGCUCGAAAGUGUGGGUAUCAAACAGGAUUAGAUACCCUGGUAGUCCACACGGUAAACGAUGGAUACUCGCUGUUGGCGAUAUACUGUCAGCGGCUUAGCGAAAGCGUUAAGUAUCCCACGGGGUCCACCGGCAACGGUGAAACUCAAAUGAAUUGACG